rfam:Lupinus angustifolius cultivar Tanjil chromosome LG16, whole genome shotgun sequence.
CUACUUACCUGGAUGGGGUCAAUGGAUGAUCAAGAAGGUCUAUGGCCUAGGUUGGUGACCUCCAUUGCACUUUGGAGGGGUGUCAACCUAAGGUCUCCCCAAGUGGGAGAGCCUACAUCAUAAUUUGUGGUAGUGGGGGUUUGCGUUCGCGCAGCCCCUCU